rnacentral:rRNA from 1 species
AUUGAACGCUGGCGGCAGGCGUAACACAUGCAAGUCGAACGAGCGGCGGACGGGUGAGUAAUGUCUGGGAAACUGCCCGGUGGAGGGGGAUAACUACUGGAAACGGUAGCUAAUACCGCAUAACAUCAGAUGUGCCCAGAUGGGAUGAGCUAGUAGGUGGGGUAACGGCUCACCUAGGCGACGAUCCCUAGCUGGUCUGAGAGGAUGACCAGCCACACUGGAAAUGAGACACGGUCCAGACGCCUACGGGAGGCAGCAGUGGGGAAUAUUGCACAAUGGGCGCAAGCCUGAUGCAGCCAUGCCGCGUGUAUGAAGAAGGCCUUCGGGUUGUAAAGGACUUUCAGCGAGGAAGCGUUAGUCGAAGAAGAAGCACCGGCUAACUCCGUGCCAGCAGCCGCGGUAAUAC